rnacentral:rRNA from 1 species
CCUACGGGAGGCAGCAGUGGGGAAUAUUGCACAAUGGGCGAAAGCCUGAUGCAGCGACGCCGCGUGAGGGAUGACGGCCUUCGGGUUGUAAACCUCUUUCAGCAGGGAAGAAGCGCAAGUGACGGUACCUGCAGAAGAAGCACCGGCUAACUACGUGCCAGCAGCCGCGGUAAUACGUAGGGUGCGAGCGUUGUCCGGAAUUAUUGGGCGUAAAGAGCUCGUAGGCGGUCUGUCACGUCGGAUGUGAAAGCCCGGGGCUUAACCCCGGGCCUGCAUUCGAUACGGGCAGACUAGAGUGUGGUAGGGGAGAUCGGAAUUCCUGGUGUAGCGGUGAAAUGCGCAGAUAUCAGGAGGAACACCGGUGGCGAAGGCGGAUCUCUGGGCCAUUACUGACGCUGAGGAGCGAAAGCGUGGGGAGCGAACAGGGAUUAGAUACCCGUGGUAGUCCACGCCGUAAACGUUGGGAACUAGGUGUUGGCGACAUUCCACGUCGUCGGUGCCGCAGCUAACGCAUUAAGUUCCCCGCCUGGGGAGCGCGNGAGCAAACNCAANAGAGUGAGNGUGAGAGNGCGACGCGACGACGAGGGAGAG